UACAGGGGGUGCAAACGUUGCUCGGAAUCAUUGGGCGUAAAGCGCACGUAGGCGGUUCGUUAUGUCGGAUGUGAAAGCCCUUGGCUAACCGAGGAAGUGCAUCCGAAACUGGCGAGCUAGAGUACGAAAGAGGAUCGCGGAAUUCCCGGUGUAGAGGUGAAAUUCGUAGAUAUCGGGAGGAACACCGGUGGCGAAGGCGGCGAUCUGGGUCGAUACUGACGCUGAGGUGCGAAAGCAUGGGGAGCAAACAGG
rnacentral:rRNA from 1 species